AGCUUGUUGGUGAGGUAAAGGCUCACCAAGGCUACGAUCAGUAGCUGGUCUGAGAGGACGGCCAGCCACAAUGGCACUGAAACACGGGCCAUACUCCUACGGGAGGCAGCA
rnacentral:rRNA from 1 species